UACAGAGGUCUCAAGCGUUGUUCGGAUUCAUUGGGCGUAAAGGGUGCGUAGGCGGCGGCGUCAGUCAGGUGUGAAAGCCUGGGGCUUAACCCCAGAAGUGCACUUGAUACUGCGCUGCUUUGAGGACUGGAGAGGAGAGUGGAAUUCACGGUGUAGCAGUGAAAUGCGUAGAUAUCGUGAGGAAGGCCAGUGGCGAAGGCGGACUCGUCUGG
rnacentral:rRNA from 1 species